CUUUCUCCUUAUCCUCUUUAAGAUACACGAGGAAAGCCAUUAAGUUUCGAUAAAGUUUUCCCGGCUAAAAUAUUUCCGGGAAAACUUAGCUGCCAUGUCGGCCAUUUCGAUUUACAGAGCUGAAUUCUUGACUUUUUCUAGCAACGGAUUGAGACCCCGCCACAAAUUUCAAAGAAUUUCCCUCUCUCCAACUAUGAAAAUGGAUUGUAAAUCAAUCGAAACUGAGAAAAAGGAAGAACUUUCGUUGCAGCUUCAAACGCCGUCAAUUCCUCAACUUGAAAACUGAAUAUCAUCUAAUCUGAGGUUUGACCGGGUACAACCGUCGGAUCAGGACCUGAACCAGCAUAAAAGAUUAGCAUAUGGAAAAUUCGUGGCAAGAGAGGCCCUCCUUGAUGAAGAGUUCUGGGAAUACGCCAUUCCUAACCAUUAUUCUUUUUCUUCCUUUUAUUUGAUCAAAACGACCUUUUUGGUUUGGAUGGUUUUGUUUUGAUUUUGAGAUAGACAGCGGCAUGGCAUGGCUGAGAGCACAAAGUCACUGGGAGGAUCGACCAGGUGAAAGGUAGGGAUUAAAUUUCUUAACCUUUUUUAAUGGACUCAUCUAAAGAAAUGAAUAAUUAAGUCCUUAUUUGGUAUCUGUUUAUGGUAUAGAGAGAUAUAGAUGCAGAGGAGUGGUUCUCUUUUAUGCAAAGAAAUAAACUUUUUGACCUAAUUAUGUGAAAAAAAAAAAAAAACGUAAUUGCUUCAAAUAAUUUGUUUCAAAGGUUUACUAUGGAGGUCUAUCAGGUGUAGAGGAAGAUAAUUCUAUUAAGCUGUUGACAAUGGACUUGAUUCAAUUCCCACUUCUCUACGUGUCUGCAGCCUUGACGGACUAAUGUUUUGCAUUUUUGCUAUUGUAUAUUAGUGAAUAUUGGAUGUCCCUGAUUGUAGCUAUUCUGAUAUAUACAGAUAUGUUGAUAACUUAAUAAGGAAAUUUGCUGAGCAGGUUGGAGAGAAUAGUGUUCUCUUAAUUGCUCAUAAAUACAUAUGAAUUUUGGUUACAUGUAAAAUGCUUUGAAAUUUUCCUUAUUUUGUCGGAGUUCAAUGCCAUAAAAAGGCGAUACUGGGGCAGCAUGGGCAGACACAUACAUGUGUUGUCGUGGUAUGAUGUUUUAACAGGAUUUUUUUUCCAGAUUGGUAUUGCUUUCAAUGUGUUUGUUAUCUCUUUUGGGUUGGGUGAGGGUUAAAUCAAUUUAGAGCUCUGUUUGUCUUCAUUAUUGGGAUACAGUUCUUGUGUCAUGUUGUUGUUUUCUUUAGAUGAAGAGUCUUAUACAAUGCUUUGGUAUCGCAUUAUCAGGCUAACAAGGGGGAGAGGAAUGCCAAACGCACAGUGCUAAAAAGUGUAGUUGGUACCCUUGCUUUCAGCAUGCAGCAUUUGUUGCAUGGAGAGUCUUUUCCUGGGGUACAAUGCAUACACUUUAUAUUCAGACUGCUAGUCCAUCAUCAAUCCAAAUAAAGAGGUUACUUGUUAAUAUAGUUGUGAAUGGAAACCUCUUGCAGGAACGUGAAAGCAUCUCUUCUGCAGCCUCAACAGAACACACCUGAAUAAAUAUGUUUAUGUUUCCAACUUAUGUGCAGCCAAAUCAGCCCGUCGACAAGGCAUUGCUAGAAAUAUGUUGUAUUUUGUUAUUGAAUUAGCCAAAUCAAGUGGCGUUGGACUGGUAUAUGUGCAUGUGCAUGGAAACAAUGGACCUGCUCUGUAUCUGUGCCAAAAGUUUGGUUGAGGUAAUACUAUUUUAUCCUAAGGAAUUUUAUUUACACCCCAUUUAAUUUUGUAUACGCCCGACUUCUAAAUAUACCCCAAAUUCAAAACUCAAUUUUCUAUUUCUACUAAAUACACUUCACCCCUCACUUUUUAUUUUCCAUUCAUACUGUUGUCUCUUCUUCUCUCUUCACUUUCUAAAAUUAAACUUUUUGGAAAUAAAUAUCCAAAAAGUUUUGAAGUUUCUCGGAAACGGAUAUCUGAGCAAAUUUGAAACUUCUCGGAUCUCUAUCUUCUUGAAAAUGGAUAUUCAAAAAGAUUUGAAACUUCUCAGACUUCUAUUUCCAAGAAACUUGAUUUCACUUUUAAUAACUUAAAAACCUUAAUUAUAUACUUAUGAAUCCAUUUACUUGCUCAUAUGUGUGAAUGAAAUUGAAAUCGAUAUUUUCAACAUGCAUAGCAUAAACUUGUUCUUUCUCUUGAGUUUUCGAGAAACUUAGAAUAUCAUUUUUUAUUUUCUCGUUUUGCGUGAGUAAAAUGGAGUUCUUGAUUUUUUGGGCUUAUGACAAAAACAUUUUUAUGCCUAUGUAUACUUGAAAAUUAACAUGUCUCUUCCAUUUGCACAUAUAAUCGAGUAAGAAAGGGCACAUCGAUGACUCAUGUGUAUGCAUGUAUACUAGUCUGAGCUUGAACACCUUAUAGAGCAUUCGGGGACGGAUCUAGGAUUUAUGGUCGGUGGGGGCAAAUUAUUAGGUAAUAUUUAUUUACAAACUAUUGUAAUUUAAAAUGAUUUUCAUUAAAAUAU